rnacentral:lncRNA from 1 species
UAUCAUCAUUACAUUCACACAUAUAAUGUUUUAUUAUGUUUAAUUCCAUUUUUGUGUCCUUUUUAAGCUCCUGCCCCCUCACCUGUGGAUCCACCCAAAGCAGAAGAUGGUACAAAAGGGGGCACAAACAUGGUGGGCUGGAUCGUACAGGGAUUCAGUCGCAUUGUGCCACAGCCUGUUGUAAAAGCCAAAGAGGAUGGAUCGGAUGCUGUUCAAAGCAUCUGCAUCCUGCAGGACCCCUCAGACAUGGUCCUGGAGCAGGUGGACCCGAACUGGGAGAGGCAGCAGGCGGAUGCUGAGCAGAAGCAGAGCUGCCUCCUGCUGGAGGCCAUGGAUCAGGAGGACGACAUCAAACAGGAGGCGGAGGAAGAUCUCACGGUCUCCAUGGAGGAAAGGCUGCAGCAGGAGCGGUUGGAAGCUGCUCGGAUGGCGGAGGAGUUAGCGCUGCAGGCGGCGGAGAUCGCAGUGAGACAGCUGGAGGAGGAACACACUGGACCCAUAAUAAUGGAGCCUGAACUAUCUGAACCCGACAAUGGAGAACUGUAAGUUACACACACAUAAAAGCACAUAUACAUGCACUGAAACCAUGAU